GAUGAACGCUGGCGGCGUGCCUAAUACAUGCAAGUCGAACGAAACUUCUUUAUCACCGAGUGCUUGCACUCACCGAUAAAGAGUUGAGUGGCGAACGGGUGAGUAACACGUGGGCAACCUGCCCAAAAGAGGGGGAUAACACUUGGAAACAGGUGCUAAUACAGCAUAACCAUAGUUACCGCAUGGUAACUAUGUAAAAGGUGGCUAUACUACCGCUUUUGGAUGGGCCCGCGGGGCAUUAGCUAGUUGGUAGGGUAAAGGCUUACCAAGGCAAUGAUGCGUAGCCGAACUGAGAGGUUGAUCGGCCACAUUGGGACUGAGACACGGCCCAAACUCCUACGGGAGGCAGCAGUAGGGAAUCUUCCACAAUGGGCGAAAGCCUGAUGGAGCAACGCCGCGUGGGUGAAGAAGGUCUUCGGAUCGUAAAACCCUGUUGUUAGAGAAGAAAGUGCGUGAGAGUAACUGUUCACGUUUCGACGGUAUCUAACCGGAAAGCCACGGCUAACUACGUG
rnacentral:rRNA from 1 species